rnacentral:lncRNA from 1 species
AGAUCCCAUGGCAGAUGGUUGUGAGUCACCAUGUGGUUGCUGGGAAUUGAACUCAGGACCUCUGGAAGAGCAGUCAGUGCUCUUAACCACUGAGCCAUCUGUCCAGCCCCUCAUGGUACAUCUUUAACAUAGCAAAUGGGCAAAGAUCAAACAUAAGAUUUCAUUCUGUUCCUACUUGUUUCUUUCUUUCUUUCUUUCUCUUUUCCUGUUCCAACUUGUAUGAGAAGCAAUCUUCUGUCAGAAGAGAAGUUAAGUGUGCCUCUGACACUCCCGGAGGUCAUUUGUUGUUUUGCUUCAGUCACUGCAGGCCAGAGCACUCGGUCAUUUUCAGCAGCGAGCACUGCCUGCUGCCUUCUACACGUGGUACAGAGUCUGGCGAUGGCACCAGCAGAGACGGACCCUCCACACCAGAGCAGUGCGUUUUCACAGGUCUGCUGUGCAGCUCCGUGUGUGGAACAUACAGCUCUGAUGUAGCUCUGGUGACUUUGGAAUGCCCUGGCUUUGUGACGCUGUUUCCCAGUCCCUAGUCCCUGGUCCUCUGGGUUUUCAGUAAUGAGGGCCUUUUGAUCUCACGGAGCAGAAAAAUUAGCCACACCUUCCCCUGGGACACUUCGGCCAUCCUUUUGGCAAGUGUUUUCAGAACAGAUUGUGUUUUAUGCUCUGUUCUUCUUUCCUGAGUACAAUUUCCUGUUAGUGUUGUAAUGAGAGCUUUGAUGGAGCCUCACAUUGUGUGAUUUCCCUAAAAUGCUG